CGUAGGGUGCGAGCGUUAAUCGGAAUUACUGGGCGUAAAGCGUGCGCAGGCGGUUAUAUAAGACAGAUGUGAAAUCCCCGGGCUCAACCUGGGAACUGCAUUUGUGACUGUAUAGCUAGAGUACGGCAGAGGGGGAUGGAAUUCCGCGUGUAGCAGUGAAAUGCGUAGAUAUGCGGAGGAACACCGAUGGCGAAGGCAGUCCCCUGGGCCUGUACUGACGCUCAUGCACGAAAGCGUGGGGAGCAAACAGGAUUAGAUACCCUGGUAGUCCACGCCCUAAACGAUGUCAACUGGUUGUUGGGUCUUCACUGACUCAGUAACGAAGCUAACGCGUGAAGUUGACCGCCUGGGGAGUACGGCCGCAAGGUUG
rnacentral:rRNA from 1 species